rnacentral:rRNA from 1 species
AGCAGCCGCGGUAAUUCCAGCUCCAAUAGCGUAUAUUAAAGUUGUUGCAGUUAAAAAGCUCGUAGUUGAAUUUCGGGAUUGACACAUCGGUCGUGCCUUAAGGGGUGUGAACUGGUGUAGUCAAUUUCUCACCUUCUGGAGAACCGCGAUGUCCUUAAUUGGGUGCCGCGAGGAACCAGGACCUUUACUUUGAAAAAUUAGAGUGUUUAAAGCAGGCAUUUUUGCUUGAAUACAUUAGCAUGGAAUAAUAAAAUAGGACGGCAUGAUUCUAUUUUGUUGGUUUCUAGGAUCACCGUAAUGAUUAAUAGGGAUAGUUGGGGGCAUUAGUAUUCAAUUGUCAGAGGUGAAAUUCUUGGAUUUAUUGAAGACUAACUACUGCGAAAGCAUUUGCCAAGGAUGUUUUCAUUAAUCAAGAACGAAAGUUAGGGGAUCGAAGACGAUCAGAUACCG